GCGUCUGUUUCAAAAUAUUAAUGCCUUUUUGUGCUGUGAGCAAACCCUCAGCCCAAGAAACAGUUAACUUUGUGAAAACAUAUGGUCAUCAUGCCUGAAAAAGAUAAGUUGCUGAAGGAAAAUGUUGGAGAUGGUCCUGGAAGCCGAUCCAGUUCCAAUGGAAGCAGCUCUCCAAAAGUGCUGGACAUUCCUUUGCUGGUCCAGCAGGCCCGGGAGGCGUACAAUGACGGCGUCACCCGAGAUCUCGAGUUCCGCAAGCGCAACCUGCGCGGCCUGCUCAAAUUCUACGAGGAGAACCGCCAGCAGCUGGUGGACGUGCUUCACAAGGACCUUCGGAAGCACGCCUUUGAGGCCAUGAUCACCGAAGUCAACUACCUCAUCAACGACGUGAAGACCAUGCUGAAUAAUCUGGACGAGUGGUCAAAACCUAAGGCAGUCCAGAAGAGCCUGGCCACGAUGCUGGACCGGCCGUAUGUGCUGCCGGAGCCCCACGGUGUGGUUCUGGUGAUGGGCGCCUGGAACUACCCCCUCCAGCUGAGUCUGGUUCCUGUCAGCGGCGCCAUCGCUGCCGGCAACUGCGUGGUCAUCAAGCCGUCGGACCUGUCCCCGGCCACGUCUGCCUUCAUCGCCGACACUCUGCCGCGGUAUGUGGACAGCCGCUGCUUCCCGGUGGUCUGCGGAGGAAUUCCGGAGAGCACGCAGCUGCUGGAGCAGCAGUUUGACUACAUCUUCUACACGGGCAGCAGCGCAGUGGGCAAGAUCGUCCGCGAGGCCUCCAACAAGCACCUGACGCCUGUCACGCUCGAGCUCGGCGGGAAGAGCCCUGUCUGGCUGGACGAGACUGUCAACAUGGACUACGCGGUGCGUCGGAUCCUCUGGGGCAAGGUGAUCAACCUGGGCCAGACGUGCAUCGCGCCCGAUUACCUGCUCUGCACCAAGGCGACCGAGGCGCGCUUCCUGGCCAUGGCCAAACAGGUGCUGAAGGAGUGGUUCGGGGACAAGCCAGAGGAGGCGGCAGAACUGGGGCGCAUUGUCAACCAGCGACACUUCGAACGCGUGAAGAAGCUGCUCGAGUCGUCUGGUAAGGUGGCGCUGGGCGGCCGGUCCAACGCCAAGGACCUGUUCAUCGAGCCCACCGUGCUGACGGACGUCAAGCCAGACGACUCUGUGAUGCAGGAGGAGAUCUUCGGCCCUGUGCUGCCCAUCGUUACCGUCCAGUCGGCCGCCGAGGCCAUCCACUUCAUCAACAGCCGAGACAAGCCCCUAGCGUUCUACAUUUUCACCAAGGACAAGUCGACAGAGACGCUGCUCCUCAAAAACACUACCGCCGGCGGUGUGACUGUCAACGAUACUCUGUUCCACAUCGGAGAGAACGGCCGCUGGCGGCCUACAUUUUCACAUCGGACGCGGACACGCACCAGAGGAUGCUUUCCGAAACCUCAUCCGGAGGCAUUGUUUUCAACGAGACGCUGAUGCACUACGGAGUUGAGGAGCUGCCGUUCGGUGGCGUCGGGAUGAGCGGCAUGGGCGCCUACCACGGCAAGUUCUCGUUCGACACGUUCACACACUACAAGCCGGUGCUGGAGCGCGGCUUCAACCCCCUCGUCGAGAAACUCUGCUCGGUGCGCUACCCGCCGUACACGCCGCAGAAGAUGGAGCGUGCCAAGAACCUGCUGAAGAACCCCAAGCUGCCCAGCCUGACGCCCCUCAAGUACCUGUUUACCUUCGGAGUGGGCGUGGCUUCCGUGUUCGCCCUCAAAGCCGCCGCCAAGAGGUUCGGGUUCGACGACGACCUGCCGUACGUUCUGCAGUGAGACGGGUCCAACGGGCUUCUUCGCCACCCCCGCCUCCACUCCACUGGCGGAUCGCGCGACCGCCCGGGGCGGGACCAGUGGAGCCGCCGGGGCCGGGCCAGGGCAGCGCGCAGUCUGGGACAGCUGGCGUGGGCUGAGACUGGCUAAUGUAGCGGUCCCGCUGCUUUUGAGCGGUGCUGAGGCCGAGUCAGUGCCGUCUCACCGCGAUGUGGCUAGAAUGCUCUUCUGGGCGUGUGUCCAUAAAGAUGAAAACACCUGGUCUCGCCCUGGUCUCGUGGCGCGGGAUAUUUCGACCAAGAUCACCGGUUCUGCUAGAUUUUAGUCAGUUAUUUUAAUGUAACUUGUUCUACCUACGGUGUAAAUAGGUAUCACUUUAGAGCGUAUAGCAUAUAUGGAUGCAAGAUGUGAUCUUCAGGCGGUGGGAAUCGAGGUUGCGACGACAUUUGUUUUGAAUGUGCUGUGUAAGUGGAGCGUUUGCUGAGUUACAUUUCUACAGACGUCAUUGCUUUGAUUUGCUGCGAUCACUUUUAGAGAGAUUUAUCUAUGUCCAAAGAUUAUCACUAAAAAAACUGGUGGUGAUAAAUAGACUAUAGGUACUGAUGCCAUACAGUGUCAUAGAUACGUGUUAUACUGAGCGUAACUUUUCCCAAUCUUUCACUGGCACGCGUCGUACUCUGAACGCCCUCGCCCCUUCCCAACACCAGCCUAGACAGUAGUGCAAUUCCUGAAUUCACCGACUCCAUAAGUUCAGUUGAACUUAGUUGUCUUAUUGCAUGUGAUUGGUCAAGCGAUUUUAGUUCAAAGCCUUCGUUGUUGAUUGCUUUGUGCAUCGUGAAAUGAAAUAAAUCGAUGUUUUCAGCGUUCA
rnacentral:misc_RNA from 1 species